rnacentral:rRNA from 1 species
CUCGGCUUGCACGUUUACGAAGCAAUAUGCUAUAGGCGCACGGCGCACGGGUGCGUAACACGUGGGAUAACCUGCCCUUUGGUGGGGAAUAACUCCGCGAAAGCGGAGCUAAUUCCGCAUAAGAUCCGCAAGGAUGAAAGCCGCAAGGCGCCGAUGGAGGGGCCCGCGCACGAUUAGCUAGUUGGUAGGGUAACGGCCUACCAAGGCUUUGAUCGUUAGCUGGUCUGAGAGGAUGGCCAGCCACACUGGAACUGAGACACGGUCCAGACUCCUACGGGAGGCAGCAGUGGGGAAUCUUGCACAAUGGGCGAAAGCCUGAUGCAGCGACGCCGCGUGGGGGAUGAAGCAUUUCGGUGUGUAAACCCCUUUCGAUCCGGACGAAUGCCCGCAAGGGAGUGACGGUACGGAUAUAAGAAGCCCCGGCUAACUACGUGCCAGCAGCCGCGGUAAGACGUAGGGGGCCAGCGUUGUUCGGAAUUACUGGGUGUAAAGGGUUCGUAGGCGGUGCGGCAAGUUGGGAGUGAAAUCUCUGGGCUUAACCCAGAGGCUGCUUCCAAAACUGCUGUGCUUGAGUGUGGGAGAGGCGCGUGGAAUUGCAGGUGUAGCGGUGAAAUGCGUAGAUAUCUGCAGGAACACCCGUGGCGAAAGCGGCGCGCUGGACCACUACUGACGCUGAGGAACGAAAGCUAGGGGAGCAAACAGGAUUAGAUACCCUGGUAGUCCUAGCCCUAAACGAUCAGGACUUGGGGUGCCACCCGUUCGGGUGUCGUCCCGGAGCUAACGCGUUAAGUCCUGCACCUGGGGAGUACGGUCGCAAGACUGAAACUCAAAGGAAUUGACGGGGGCCCGCACAAGCGGUGGAACAUGUGG